rnacentral:rRNA from 1 species
AGAGUUUGAUCCUGGCUCAGGAUGAACGCUGGCGGCAUGCCUAAUACAUGCAAGUCGAACGAGGGUCCUUCGGGACUCGAGUGGCGAACGGGUGAGUAACACGUAGGGAACCUGCCCGUGCGACCGGGAGAACUUUCGGAAACGGAAGCUGAUACCGGAUAGGGACAGAGACGGCAUCGACUCUGUGUUAAAGGAGCUGAAAGGCUCCGCGCACGGAUGGACCUGCGGUGCAUUAGCUAGUUGGUGAGGUAACGGCCCACCAAGGCGACGAUGCAUAGCCGGCCUGAGAGGGCGGACGGCCACACUGGGACUGAGACACGGCCCAGACUCCUACGGGAGGCAGCAGUAGGGAAUUUUCGUCAAUGGGCGCAAGCCUGAACGAGCAAUGCCGCGUGAACGAGGAAGGUCUUCGGAUCGUAAAGUUCUGUUGAAGGGGAAAAAGAGCGGAGAGAGGAAAUGAACUCCGAUUGAUAUUACCCUUCGAGGAAGUCACGGCUAACUACGUGCCAGCAGCCGCGGUAAUACGUAGGUGGCGAGCGUUAUCCGGAAUGAUUGGGCGUAAAGGGUGCGUAGGCGGCCUGCUAAGUCUGGAGUGAAAGGUACCGGCUCAACCGGUACAGGCUCUGGAAACUGGCGGGCUAGAGAGCAGGAGAGGGCGGUGGAACUCCAUGUGUAGCGGUAAAAUGCGUAGAUAUAUGGAAGAACACCAGUGGCGAAGGCGGCCGCCUGGCCUGUUACUGACGCUGAGGCACGAAAGCGUGGGGAGCAAAUAGGAUUAGAUACCCUAGUAGUCCACGCCGUAAACGAUGAGGACCAAGUGUUGGGGAAGACCCAGUGCUGCAGUUAACGCAGUGAGUCCUCCGCCUGGGGAGUAUGCACGCAAGUGUGAAACUCAAAGGAAUUGACGGGAGCCCGCACAAGCGGUGGAGUAUGUGGUUUAAUUCGAAGCAACGCGAAGAACCUUACCAGGCCUUGACAUAGGGUGCGAAGCUAUGGAGACAUAGUGGAGGUAAACAUCCAUACAGGUGGUGCAUGGUUGUCGUCAGCUCGUGUCGUGAGAUGUUCAGUUAAGUCUGGCAACGAGCGCAACCCUCGUGAUGUGUUACCAAUAUCGAGUUAGGGACUCACAUCAGACUGCCGGUGAGAAACCGGAGGAAGGCGGGGAUGACGUCAAAUCAUCAUGCCCCUUAUGGCCUGGGCUACACACGUACUACAAUGGCGGCGACAGAGGGCAGCGAGCCUGCGAAGGCAAGCGAAUCCCCAAAAAGCCGUCCCAGUUCGGAUUGGAGUCUGCAACCCGACUCCAUGAAGUUGGAAUCGCUAGUAAUCGCGGAUCAGCAUGCCGCGGUGAAUACGUUCUCGGGCCUUGCACACACCGCCCGUCAA